rnacentral:rRNA from 1 species
CCUACGGGAGGCAGCAGUGGGGGAUAUUGCACAAUGGGGGAAACCCUGAUGCAGCAACGCCGCGUGAGUGAAGACGUAUUUCGGUAUGUAAAGCUCUAUUAGCAGGGAAGUGAAGGACGGCACCUGACCAAGAAGCCCCGGCCAACUACGUGCCAGCAGCCGCGGUAAUACGGAGGGGGCGAGCGUUAUCCGGAUUUACUGGGUGUAAAGGGAGCGUAGACGGGUGGUCAAGUCUGUAGUGAAGGCGCGGGGCUUAACCCCGGAAUGGCUUUGGAAACUGGGCAGCUAGAGUGCAUGAGAGGUAAGCGGAAUUCGUGGUGUAGCGGUGAAAUGCGUAGAUAUUAGGAAGAACACCGAUGGCGAAGGCGGCUUACUGGACAGUAACUGACGUUGAGGCUCGAAAGCGUGGGUAGCAAACAGGAUUAGAUACCCCUGUAGUC